CGUUUUUGCUCCCAAAUGUUGAGAAUCGCUCGGUAGUCACCUCUGAGCUAGGCGCAGCGAGAACGCUUAAUAAGACUGGGCUGAGAAUCUACAGGCAAGUCUCAAACCAAGAAACUUAAAGGAUUCCCUCCUUCCUCCUUCCUUGAUGUUUAUUUUACCCUGAUAUCGCCUGAGUGCCAAAGUCCACUUGGAGGACAAUGUGGUUUUCAUCAGCCAAAUGCAGAAGAUUUGGAAGGCCAGUUAGUACCCUUCUACAUCCCUAGAUUUCCUGAUCGACGAUGCUGAAGCAGGGACUGCACCUGAUGAGGAACACAAGGACCUGGCUGCUUGCCUUGAAUAGGAGAAAGGGACAGAAGGACCCACUUCAAAAACCUUUACUUUCCACUGCUCUGUCUUCCACUAAAAAGUGGGGUAUAAACAGUCUUCAGUCCUCACCUCUGUCCCAAAUGAGAUCCCAAAUGGGACAGCAGUAUCUGGAUGAAGGAAGGACGCCAUGGAACUGAAGGCACCCACCACAGGAUUUCAGAUAUAAACGAGUUGGCAGACUAUAAGCACCUACUCCUAAGAAUCAAAGCAGGAGGAAGCAUAAGAAGACUGGACACUGUGGAGAUUCCUGGGUGGCUCAGUCGGUUGGGCGUAUGACUUCGGCUUAGGUCAUGAUCUCACAGUUCAUGCGUUCAGGUCCUGCAUCAGACUCUGUACUGACAGCUCAGAGCCUGGAGCCUGCUUCAAAUUCUGUGUCUCCCUCUCUCUCUCUCCCUCCCCCAACUCACAUCUGUCUCUCUCUCUCAAAAAUAAAUAAACAUUUAAAAAAAUU
rnacentral:lncRNA from 1 species